GGGCCCAUGAGCCUGACCAUAGCUACGCCUUGUGUUUGGAGGAAAUGGGAGGAGUCAAACGAGAAGUUAUUGAGGGUAAGGACCAACUCCCCUAGGCGGAGGAAAGUAUCAGUGGAUGGGUAUAGGUUGAUUCUCCGGUCGAGGAAGAACCGGAGGGCUUUGAGACCAUCCUGGUGGAGGAUGGAGGUGUAGAAUGACUGGACGUCCAUGGUGAAGAUGAGGGGACGGGGGCCUAGCGAAUGGAAUGCCCGGAUACAACAGGACAGGCAGCAUCUCUGGAGAGAAGGAAUGGG